rnacentral:lncRNA from 1 species
AUGGCUUCUAAUAGAGCUAUAACACUCACGACAAGGCCCAAGAUUCCAUUCCUUGAAUUCUGUGAGGCCCAGAACCCCAGGUCAGAGAACACGAGGCUUGCCACCAUCUGGGAAGCAGCCCGCGGACAUCUUGGGAGCUCUAGGAGCAAGGACCCCCGGUGGGAAUGUAAGGAGUAAGGAAGGAAAAUGCUUCUUGACAUCUACCUUGUAGAUCUGAAGUGAGUAUUAAAUGGUGUCAAGUGAGUAUCACAGUGCCUGACAGAGGAAAUGCUUAUGAAAACAUGAGUUAUGAUUUUAUAAUUAUCAUUACAGUAGGCUAAGCAAAGCCAGCCAGUGUCUCCCUCAGUUGACUUUGCAAAUCUCUGUUCUAAUCCACUCCAAAAUGAUUUAAAAUUAAGAUACAGGCCAUCUGAUUUUUAAAAAUUUUCAGUUCUUAUAGUGCAUUUCAUUAUAAUAGUGGGUCUAUUAUAUACUUAAUCCUUAAUUUUUGACCAGAAUUUCAAGAACAAGAACACAAGAGUGAGUUUUUCCCCCUUCUUUCUUUCCUUUCUUCUUUCUUUCUUUUGUAUGUUGAUUUCUGAUUUUAAUAAAAUUGCUUAUUGUGUUUUAUCAGAAACAAUGUUGAUUGAGUUUAAGAUAGAUUUUUAAAAUUACUGGCUGCUAAAGAAGUUUCUAAAAAUCAGAGUGGGUGUUAAAUAUCAGAUAACUUCUGGAAAUCUUUGGACAUUAUUAUAUAAUUUAAAAAUUUGACCAACAGUUGUAAUAUAUUACAGGUUGAACAUCUCUAUCUGAAAUGCCUCUUACCAGAAAUGUUCUGGAAUUUUUAUUUUUGGGGGGUUUGAAAGUUUUUUGUUAUAGAUGAGCACCCUAAUUUGAAAGUCUAAACUCUGAAAUUCUCCAGUGAGCAUUCUCUUUGAGUGUCAUGUUGGUUCUCAAAAAGUUUCAGAUUUUCGAGUAUUUUCAAUUUUCGAUUUUCAAAUUAGGGAUUCUCAACCUGUAACAGGUUUCUUCUUAUUUAAUUAUCCUGUAUCCUUUGAGUAAAUCUUAUUUGACUAUAGAAGAUACAUUUUAAACACACUAAUAAAUGAAAUGGCCAA